AUUGAACGCUGGCGGCAUGCUUUACACAUGCAAGUCGAACGGUAACAGGCCGCAAGGUGCUGACGAGUGGCGAACGGGUGAGUAAUGCAUCGGAACGUGCCCAGUCGUGGGGGAUAACUACUCUAAAGAGUAGCUAAUACCGCAUACGAUCUAUGGAUGAAAGCGGGGGACCGUAAGGCCUCGCGCGAUUGGAGCGGCCGAUGUCAGAUUAGGUAGUUGGUGGGGUAAAGGCUCACCAAGCCAACGAUCUGUAGCUGGUCUGAGAGGACGACCAGCCACACUGGGACUGAGACACGGCCCAGACUCCUACGGGAGGCAGCAGUGGGGAAUUUUGGACAAUGGGCGCAAGCCUGAUCCAGCAAUGCCGCGUGCAGGAAGAAGGCCUUCGGGUUGUAAACUGCUUUUGUACGGAACGAAACGGCUCUGGUUAAUACCCGGGGCUAAUGACGGUACCGUAAGAAUAAGCACCGGCUAACUACGUG
rnacentral:rRNA from 1 species